rnacentral:sRNA from 1 species
CACCUAUCCAGAGAAGGACAGCAGAGGUAGUGCGCGCACAAUCUUGAGGCUGCAUGGCCAGCCUAGAAAUAGAAGGAAAGAGGAACGUUAGGGGUAUGCAAAAUUCACUCUAUCACAAACACUCUCUCUCUCUCUCUGAUAGCCUUCCUCUUCCUCCAGUGGUCUGACUUGAUCGUCGGAGGGUCUAUCCGGCACACCACUGCCAGGCAGAUCACCAUUUCUGUGUUGCAGAGAUAGACGCUGUCACGAGAAGCUUGACUUCCAAGGAGUACAGAAAGCAGAGGAUAUUUCGCCCCCGUACAGAUACCAUCAUCAAUACAAGAAAGGUUAGAAUGAUUCCAACAAUUCUUAGGGAGAUCCCAAAAUUAGAGUAGAUAACCU